AUUGAACGCUGGCGGCAGGCCUAACACAUGCAAGUCGAGCGGAUGAAGAGAGCUUGCUCUCUGAUUUAGCGGCGGACGGGUGAGUAAUGCCUAGGAAUCUGCCUGGUAGUGGGGGAUAACGUCCGGAAACUGGCGCUAAUACCGCAUACGUCCUACGGGAGAAAGCAGGGGACCUUCGGGCCUUGCGCUAUCAGAUGAGCCUAGGUCGGGUUAGCUAGUUGGUGAGGUAGUGGCUCACCAAGGCGACGAUCCGUAACUGGUCUGAGAGGAUGAUCAGUCCCAAUUGAACUGAGAAACGGUCCAGAUUCCUACGGGAGGCAGCAGUGGGGAAUAUUGGACAAGGGGCGAAAGCCUGAUCCAGCCAUGCCGCGUGUGUGAAGAAGGUCUUCGGAUUGUAAAGCACUUUAAGUUGGGAGGAAGGGCAGUAAGUUAAUACCUUGCUGUUUUGACGUUACCGACAGAAUAAGCACCGGCUAACUUCGUGCCAGCCGCCGCAGUAAGAC
rnacentral:rRNA from 1 species